AGACUCCUACGGGAGGCAGCAGUGGGGAAUAUUGCACAAUGGGCGAAAGCCUGAUGCAGCCAUGCCGCGUGUGUGAAGAAGGCCUUCGGGUUGUAAAGCACUUUCAGCGAGGAGGAAAGGUUACUUGGCUAAUAUCCAGUAGCUGUGACGUUACUCGCAGAAGAAGCACCGGCUAACUUCGUGCCAGCAGCCGCGGUAAUACGAGGGGUGCAAGCGUUAAUCGGAAUUACUGGGCGUAAAGCGUACGCAGGCGGUUUGUUAAGCGAGAUGUGAAAGCCCCGGGCUCAACCUGGGAACUGCAUUUCGAACUGGCAAACUAGAGUCUUGUAGAGGGGGGUAGAAUUUCAGGUGUAGCGGUGAAAUGCGUAGAGAUCUGAAGGAAUACCGGUGGCGAAGGCGGCCCCCUGGACAAAGACUGACGCUCAGGUACGAAAGCGUGGGGAGCAAACAGGAUUAGAUACCCUGGUAGUCCACGCCGUAAACGAUGUCUACUCGGAGUUUGGUGUCUUGAACACUGGGCUCUCAAGCUAACGCAUUAAGUAGACCGCCUGGGGAGUACGGCCGCAAGGUUAAAACUCAAAUGAAUUGACGGGGGCCCGC
rnacentral:rRNA from 1 species